rnacentral:rRNA from 1 species
AUGAACGCUAGCUACAGGCUUAACACAUGCAAGUCGAGGGGCAGCAUGGUCUUAGCUUGCUAAGGCCGAUGGCGACCGGCGCACGGGUGAGUAACACGUAUCCAACCUGCCGUCUACUCUUGGACAGCCUUCUGAAAGGAAGAUUAAUACAAGAUGGCAUCAUGAGUCCGCAUGUUCACAUGAUUAAAGGUAUUCCGGUAGACGAUGGGGAUGCGUUCCAUUAGAUAGUAGGCGGGGUAACGGCCCACCUAGUCUUCGAUGGGUAGGGGUUCUGAGAGGAAGGUCCCCCACAUUGGAACUGAGACACGGUCCAAACUCCUACGGGAGGCAGCAGUGAGGAAUAUUGGUCAAUGGGCGAGAGCCUGAACCAGCCAAGUAGCGUGAAGGAUGACUGCCCUAUGGGUUGUAAACUUCUUUUAUAAAGGAAUAAAGUCGGGUAUGGAUACCCGUUUGCAUGUACUUUAUGAAUAAGGAUCGGCUAACUCCGUGCCAGCAGCCGCGGUAAUACGGAGGAUCCGAGCGUUAUCCGGAUUUAUUGGGUUUAAAGGGAGCGUAGAUGGAUGUUUAAGUCAGUUGUGAAAGUUUGCGGCUCAACCGUAAAAUUGCAGUUGAUACUGGAUAUCUUGAGUGCAGUUGAGGCAGGCGGAAUUCGUGGUGUAGCGGUGAAAUGCUUAGAUAUCACGAAGAACUCCGAUUGCGAAGGCAGCCUGCUAAGCUGCAACUGACAUUGAGGCUCGAAAGUGUGGGUAUCAAACAGGAUUAGAUACCCUGGUAGUCCACACGGUAAACGAUGAAUACUCGCUGUUUGCGAUAUACUGCAAGCGGCCAAGCGAAAGCGUUAAGUAUUCCACCUGGGGAGUACGCCGGCAACGGUGAAACUCAAAGGAAUUGACGGGGGCCCGCACAAGCGGUGGAGCAUGUGGUUUAAUUCGAAGCAACGCGAAGAACCUUACCAGGUCUUGACAUCCUCUGACCUUCCUGGAGACAGGGCCUUCCCCUUCGGGGGACAGAGUGACAGGUGGUGCAUGGUUGUCGUCAGCUCGUGCCGUGAGGUGUCGGCUUAAGUGCCAUAACGAGCGCAACCCUUGUUGUCAGUUACUAACAGGUUCCGCUGAGGACUCUGACAAGACUGCCAUCGUAAGAUGUGAGGAAGGUGGGGAUGACGUCAAAUCAGCACGGCCCUUACGUCCGGGGCUACACACGUGUUACAAUGGGGGGUACAGAGGGCCGCUACCACGCGAGUGGAUGCCAAUCCCCAAAACCUCUCUCAGUUCGGACUGGAGUCUGCAACCCGACUCCACGAAGCUGGAUUCGCUAGUAAUCGCGCAUCAGCCACGGCGCGGUGAAUACGUUCCCGGGCCUUGUACACACCGCCCGUCAAGCCAUGGGAGCCGGGGGUACCUGAAGUGCGUAACCGCGAGGAGCGCCCUAGGGUAAAACUGGUGACUGGGGCU